rnacentral:lncRNA from 1 species
UUUGUCGUCAAUGGUGGAAUUUAAUCCCAAUUUCAGAAGAGGAGAGAUUCCUGCCACGACCAAGAUUGUCCUUUUCAAAUGGAUUUCAGGCCGCAGACACCAAGUCUUUUAACCCCACCCCUCUCCAUAAUUCAUGAGAUGCUUGACCAAGAGAAACCAUUGGCUUGUUUUUUCUGGAAAUGAUGAACUUUUCAGGAGUCCAGACUUU